UACGGGGGGAGCAAGCGUUGUUCGGAUUUACUGGCGUAAAGGGCGCGUAGGCGGUCAGCACAAGUCAGUUGUGAAAUCUCCGGGCUUAACUCGGAAAGGUCAACUGAUACUGUGCGACUAGAGUGCAGAAGGGGCAACUGGAAUUCUCGGUGUAGCGGUGAAAUGCGUAGAUAUCGAGAGGAACACCUGCGGCGAAGGCGGGUGCUGGGCUGACACUGACGCUGAUGCGCGAAAGCCAGGGGAGCGAACGGG
rnacentral:rRNA from 1 species